UACAGAGGGUGCAAGCGUUGCUCGGAAUCAUUGGGCGUAAAGGGUAGGUAGGUGGUCUCGUUUGUCUGGGGUGAAAGCCCAGGGCUUAACCCUGGAAGUGCCCCAGAAACGGCGAGACUAGAGUAUUGGAGAGGGUCGUGGAAUUCCCGGUGUAGCGGUGAAAUGCGCAGAUAUCGGGAAGAACACCCGUGGCGAAGGCGGCUCUCUGGGACGGUACUGACGCUGAGACGCGAAAGCGUGGGGAGCGAACAGG
rnacentral:rRNA from 1 species